GCGACGCCGCGUGAGGGAUGACGGCCUUCGGGUUGUAAACCUCUUUCAGCAGGGAAGAAGCGAAAGUGACGGUACCUGCAGAAGAAGCGCCGGCUAACUACGUGCCAGCAGCCGCGGUAAUACGUAGGGCGCGAGCGUUGUCAGGAAUUAUUGGGCGUAAAGAGCUCGUAGGCGGCUUGUCACGUCGGUUGUGAAAGCCCGGGGCUUAACCCCGGGUCUGCAGUCGAUACGGGCAGGCUAGAGUUCGGUAGGGGAGAUCGGAAUUCCUGGUGUAGCGGUGAAAUGCGCAGAUAUCAGGAGGAACACCGGUGGCGAAGGCGGAUCUCUGGGCCGAUACUGACGCUGAGGAGCGAAAGCGUGGGGAGCGAACAGGAUUAGAUACCCUGGUAGUCCACGCCGUAAACGGUGGGCACUAUGUGUGGGCGACAUUCCACGUCGUCCGUGCCGCAGCUAACGCAUUAAGUGCCCCGCCUGG
rnacentral:rRNA from 1 species